UACGUAGGGGGCAAGCGUUGUCCGGAUUUAUUGGGCGUAAAGAGCUCGUAGGUGGUUCGGUAAGUCGGAUGUGAAAUCUCCAGGCUCAACCUGGAGGGGUCAUUCGAUACUGCCGUGACUAGAGGUCGGUAGGGGAGUGUGGAAUUCCUGGUGGAGCGGUGAAAUGCGCAGAUAUCAGGAGGAACACCGAUUGCGAAGGCAGCUCGCUGGAACGUUACUGACGCUGAGACGCGAAAGCGUGGGGAGCAAACAGG
rnacentral:rRNA from 1 species